rnacentral:rRNA from 1 species
CCUACGGGAGGCAGCAGUGAGGAAUAUUGGUCAAUGGACGAGAGUCUGAACCAGCCAAGUAGCGUGAAGGAUGACUGCCCUAUGGGUUGUAAACUUCUUUUAUAAAGGAAUAAAACGAGGCACGUGUGCCUUUUUGCAUGUACUUUAUGAAUAAGGAUCGGCUAACUCCGUGCCAGCAGCCGCGGUAAUACGGAGGAUCCGAGCGUUAUCCGGAUUUAUUGGGUUUAAAGGGAGCGUAGAUGGGUUGUUAAGUCAGUUGUGAAAGUUUGCGGCUCAACCGUAAAAUUGCAAUUGAUACUGGCAGUCUUGAGUACAGUUGAGGUAGGCGGAAUUCGUGGUGUAGCGGUGGAAUGCUUAGAUAUCACGAAGAACCCCGAUUGCGAAGGCAGCUUACUAAACUGUGACUGACAUUGAUGCUCGAAAGUGUGGGUAUCAAACAGGAUUAGAUACCCCGGUAGUC